AGUGAACGCUGGCGGCAGGCCUAACACAUGCAAGUCGAACGCACCGCAAGGUGAGUGGCAGACGGGUGAGUAACGCGUGGGAAUUUUCCCUUCAGUACAGGAUAGCCCCGGGAAACUGGGAUUAAUACUGUAUAUUAUCUACGGAUGAAAGAUUUAUCGCUGAAGGAUAAGCCCGCGUAAGAUUAGCUAGUUGGUGAGGUAAUGGCUCACCAAGGCUGUGAUCUUUAGCUGGUCUGAGAGGAUGAUCAGCCACACUGGAACUGAGACACGGUCCAGACUCCUACGGGAGGCAGCAGUGAGGAAUAUUGGACAAUGGAGGCAACUCUGAUCCAGCCAUGCCGCGUGAAUGAUGAAGGCCCUAGGGUUGUAAAGUUCUUUAAGUUGGGAAAAUAAUGAUGGUACCAACAGAAUAAGCUCCGGCUAACUUCGUGCCAGCAGCCGCGGUA
rnacentral:rRNA from 1 species